AGUGAACGCUGGCGGCAGGCCUAACACAUGCAAGUCGAACGGAAGCACAGUAAGAGCUUGCUCUUACGGGUGGCGAGUGGCGGACGGGUGAGGAAUACAUCGGAAUCUACUUUUUCUGGGGGGAUAACGUAGGGACACUUACGCUAAUACCGCAUACGUCGUACGGGUGAAAGCAGGGGAUCUUCGGACCUUGCGCGAUUGUAUGAGCCGAUGUCGGAUUAGCUAGUUGGCGGGGUAAAGGCCCACCAAGGCGACGAUCCGUAGCUGGUCUGAGAGGAUGAUCAGCCACACUGGAACUGAGACACGGUCCAGACUCCUACGGGAGGCAGCAGUGGGGAAUAUUGGACAAUGGGCGAAAGCCUGAUCCAGCCAUACCGCGUGAGUGAAGAAGGCCUUCGGGUUGUAAAGCCCUUUUGUUGGGAAAGAAAAGAAGCAGGUUAAUCCCCCGCUGUUUUGACGGUACCCAAAGAAUAAGCACCGGCUAACUUCGUG
rnacentral:rRNA from 1 species